GCCGCGGUGUUGGAAUGGUAGACAAGACAGACUUAAAAUCUGUUGUCCGUUGAAUCGGGCGUGAGAGUUCGAAUCUCUCCCGCGGCA
rnacentral:tRNA from 1 species